CAAGUCGAACGAAUCCCCAAGGGGGUAACUCCAAGGGGGGAAGUGGCGUAAGGGGCAGUAAUGCAUGGGUAACGUACCCCCUGGUCCGGGAUAGCCUCGGGAAACCAAGGGUAAUACCGGGAGAAGUGGUUGAGGCGCCUGUCUCGGCCACCAAAGGUCCGCCGCCGGGGGAGCGGCUCAUGUGGUAUUAGCUAGUUGGUAGGGUAAUGGCCUACCAAGGCGAAGAUGCCUAGCUGGUGUGAGAGCAUGACCAGCGCCACUGGCACUGAGACACUGGCCAGACACCUACGGGUGGCUGCAGUCGAGAAUCUUCGGCAAUGGGCGCAAGCCUGACCGAGCGACGCCGCGUGCGGGAUGAAGGCCUUCGGGUUGUAAACCGCUGUCAGGGGGGAUCAACACAAUGAGUGAUCCCCAGAGGAAGCACGGGCUAAGUUCGUGCCAGCAGCCGCGGUAAGACGAACCGUGCGAACGUUGUUCGGAAUCACUGGGCUUAAAGGGCGCGUAGGCGGCUUGCAUAGUCGGGGGUGAAAUCUUUCGGCUUAACCGGAAAAUUGCCUUCGAUACUGGCAGGCUCGAGCGAGGUAGGGGCGGAUGGAACUUCCGGUGGAGCGGUGAAAUGUGUUGAUAUCGGAAGGAACGCCGGUGGCGAAAGCGAUCCGCUGGACCUCUUCUGACGCUGAGGCGCGAAAGCUAGGGGAGCAAACGGGAUUAGAUACCCCGGUAGUCCUAGCCUUAAACGAUGGGUACUGAGUAGUGGACUUACAUGGGUUCACUGCUGAAGCAAAAGUGGUAAGUACCCCGCCUGGGGAGUAUGGUC
rnacentral:rRNA from 1 species